rnacentral:misc_RNA from 1 species
UCUCCGUUGGUGAACCAGCGGAGGGAUCAUUACCGAGUUUACAACUCCCAAACCCCUGUGAACAUACCUAUCGUUGCCUCGGCGGUGCCCGCUCCGGCGGCCCGCCAGAGGACCCCCAAACUCUUGUUUUAUACAGUAUCUUCUGAGUAACACGAUUAAAUAAAUCAAAACUUUCAACAACGGAUCCCUUGGUUCUGGCAUCGAUAAAGAACGCAGC